GCUUAUUGUUCUUAUCUUUAUUGUUCUUUUGUGUAAAAGAAGCACAUUUACAUACACGCAUGCACCAAUAUUGUUUUGCACCGCAGCCCAAAUUUUGUGGUACCCAAUGAUGUGUUAUCAAUGAUAAUAUAUUUUUACUACAUUUUGUGUUAUUAAAGUACGUUUGCUUCUGUGUGCUGCUUUGCGCCGCACAAUGAAAUAGGUUUUCGGUUCUAUUUUAUUCGUUUUUUUCGGAUAAUGGUUAAGAGGGAGGACAAAGGCAUUCGUAUCGUCGCGACUUGAAAUUCAUAGGUCGUAGCCCGAUUACGAAAGCAUUUGUCAAGAGUAUCCUUAUUAAUCAAGAAUAAAGGUCCGGUUCGAAGGUGGUCAGAUAUCGUUCUAAUUCUGACCUCAAACGAUAUCAACCAGUGUACCGUUGGCGGUGAAUUUCUUCCUAACGGCAGCUUCUCAAAAAUCUUGAGUUAGCAUCGAC
rnacentral:ncRNA from 1 species